UACGUAGGGGGCUAGCGUUGUCCGGAUUUAUUGGGCGUAAAGAGCUCGUAGGCGGUUCCGUAAGUCGUGAAGUCAAAUCUCUGGGCUCAACCCAGAAUCGCUUCCGAUACUGCGGUGACUGGAGUCCGGUAGGGGAGUGUGGAAUUCCUGGUGUAGCGGUGAAAUGCGCAGAUAUCAGGAGGAACACCAACAGCGAAGGCAGCACUCUGGGCCGGUACUGACGCUGAGGAGCGAAAGCAUGGGGAGCGAACAGG
rnacentral:rRNA from 1 species